rnacentral:rRNA from 1 species
UACGGAGGGCGCAAACGUUGUUCGGAAUUACUGGGCGUAAAGCGCGUGUAGGCGGCCCUGCAAGUCGGGUGUGAAAGCCCUCGGCUCAACCGAGGAAGUGCGCUCGAAACUGCAGGGCUAGAGUCCCGGAGAGGAUAGUGGAAUUCUCGGUGUAGAGGUGAAAUUCGUAGAUAUCGAGAGGAACACCGGUGGCGAAGGCGGCUAUCUGGACGGUGACUGACGCUGAGACGCGAAAGCGUGGGGAGCAAACAGG